rnacentral:rRNA from 1 species
AUUGAACGCUGGCGGCAGGCUUAACACAUGCAAGUCGAGCGGGGUGAUGGUGCUUGCACUAUCACUUAGCGGCGGACGGGUGAGUAAUGCUUAGGAAUCUGCCUAUUAGUGGGGGACAACAUCUCGAAAGGGAUGCUAAUACCGCAUACGUCCUACGGGAGAAAGCAGGGGAUCACUUGUGACCUUGCGCUAAUAGAUGAGCCUAAGUCGGAUUAGCUAGUUGGUGGGGUAAAGGCCUACCAAGGCGACGAUCUGUAGCGGGUCUGAGAGGAUGAUCCGCCACACUGGGACUGAGACACGGCCCAGACUCCUACGGGAGGCAGCAGUGGGGAAUAUUGGACAAUGGGGGGAACCCUGAUCCAGCCAUGCCGCGUGUGUGAAGAAGGCCUUAUGGUUGUAAAGCACUUUAAGCGAGGAGGAGGCUCUUUUGGUUAAUACCCAAGAUGAGUGGACGUUACUCGCAGAAUAAGCACCGGCUAACUCUGUGCCAGCAGCCGCCGCAGUAA